ACAUUCCAGACUCUUUGGGUAUAGGGAUGCCAGGGUGCCAGACGUUGAGAUGGAGCUCCCACCCAAACACAAGGCCCAACCUGAGAUGGCUUCUAGAGACUGAGAGAGGACCAAGGAUGGAACAGACGCAUGUGCGAAGCAAGGUGGUGGCAGAGGGGGCCAGAAAAUCAGAUGGGCUUCAAUUCCUGCAGAAGUGUGGGCCAGACUAAAGUCCCUCCUUGGGUUUCACAGUGAUCAUUGGGUACAGGUGAACAGUCACUUGUUUUCCUGAUGAGAUUUUGAGGCUGAGCUUAUUUGCCUCUGACAGAACUUUGUGUAGCUCUGAUGCGCCCUGAGCAUGACAGGAGAGCCACGGAGACUAUAAGCUACAGCCCCACGAGGGUGUAUAGCCAAGAUACUUCUACUGGAUUCACCUCCUGCUGCAUCCAGAACAUGCCAGAAUAGCUGCUGCUGCUGAUGCAAAGUCAGAAGGCAUGCUGGACUCCUGUGGCACCACCAUAUCAGAGGAAAGAGGAGGGUAUUACUACAUGAGUGAAUUUUGGAGCUACGACUUCAUCCAUCCUAUUUCCACGAAUCCCUGAAUCUCUAGGGAAACUUCAUGUGAUUUCUGGUCAAGAUUGGAAUUUGGGUUCUGAGCAGGACUUCAUCGAUGCCUUCUGGCCUGGGAAGCCAAGGGCAGCCUGAGCUGCUACAAACCAUGGUGAUCCAGGCCUGGCUAUGUUCAUCUACAGUUUCCAGACAGCAGGAGAGCAGAGUCCCAUGGCUGCCUUGUACAUCUGGACACAGCCACUCCCGAGAAUAUUCAGCUGCAUGCUUGGCACUCUUGGCAGGGUCUCCAUGAACCUAAGCUCACCAACCGGCCAAGAGCAACAGGCCAGUGAAUCUUGGGAAUCUUCCUGUAUCUACCUCCCCAGCACUGGGACUAUGGGUGUGCUCUGCUGUGCCUGGCCUUUUUGCAUGGGUGCUGGGGGCUGAAUUUAUGUCCACUUAUUCAGCAAGCACUUUACUGACAAAGCCAUCUCUUUAACUUCCUAAUCUUGCCUAUUUUUAUAAGGACACUAAUCAUACUUGAUC